rnacentral:rRNA from 1 species
GACAGAGGGUGCAAACGUUGUUCGGAAUUACUGGGCGUAAAGCGCGUGUAGGCGGCCCUGCAAGUCGGAUGUGAAAUCCCACGGCUCAACCGUGGAAGUGCAUUCGAAACUGCAGGGCUAGAGUCCUGGAGAGGAAGGUGGAAUGCUUGGUGUAGAGGUGAAAUUCGUAGAUAUCGAGAGGAACACCGGUGGCGAAGGCGGCGAUCUGGACGAUGACUGACGCUGAGACGCGAAAGCGUGGGGAGCAAACAGG